rnacentral:rRNA from 1 species
GGAAACUGAACAGCUAGAGUGCGGUAGGGGCAGAGGGAAUCCCGGUGUAGCGGUGAAAUGCGUAGAGAUCGGGAAGAACACCAGUGGCGAAAGCGCUCUGCUGGACCGCAACUGACACUCAGGGGCGAAAGCUACGGGAGCGAAUGGGAUUAGAUACCCCAGUAGUCCUAGCCGUAAACGAUGGAUACUAGGUGUUGUGCGUAUCGACCCGCGCAGUGCCGCAGCUAACGCGCUAAGUAUCCCGCCUGGGGAGUACGCACGCAAGUGUGAAACUCAAAGGAAUUGACGGGGGCCCGCACAAGCGGUGGAGUAUGUGGUUUAAUUCGAUGCAACGCGAAGAACCUUACCAGGACUUGACAUGUCCGGAACCUUCGGGAAACCGAAGGGUGCCUUCGGGAACCGGAACACAGGUGGUGCAUGGCUGUCGUCAGCUCGUGUCGUGAGAUGUUGGGUUAAGUCCCGCAACGAGCGCAACCCUCGUUUCUAGUUGCCAGCAUUGAGUUGGGCACUCUAGAGAGACUGCCGGUGACAAACCGGAGGAAGGUGGGGAUGACGUCAAGUCAGCAUGCCCCUUACGUUCUGGGCUACACACGUACUACAAUGCUUCAGACAAAGGGCAGCUAGCCAGCGAUGGUCAGCAAAUCCCACAAACUGAGGCUCAGUUCAGAUCGCAGGCUGCAACUCGCCUGCGUGAAGGCGGAAUCGCUAGUAAUCGCCGGUCAGCAUACGGCGGUGAUACGUUCCCGGGCCUUGUACACACCGCCCGUCACACCAUGGGAGCUGGCGGUGCCCGAAGUCGUUAUCCUA